rnacentral:rRNA from 1 species
AGAGUUUGAUCCCGGCUCAGAAUCAACGCUGGCGGCGCGCCUAACACAUGCAAGUCGAACGAGAACGGGUAGCAAUACCUUAGUAAAGUGGCGUACGGGUGAGUAACACGUGGAUGAUCUACCUUCUAGUGGGGAAUACCGUUGGGAAACCGACGACAAUACCGCAUAAGCUCGAGAGAAGAAAGCAGCAAUGCGCUGGAAGAGGAGUCCGCGGUCGAUUAGUUAGUUGGCAGGGUAAAGGCCUACCAAGACUGUGAUCGAUAGCCGGCCUGAGAGGGCACACGGCCACACUGGCACUGAAACACGGGCCAGACUCCUACGGGAGGCACCAGUGGGGAAUAUUGCACAAUGGGGGAAACCCUGAUGCAGCGACGCCGCGUGAGCGAUGAAGCCCUUCGGGGUGUAAAGCUCUUUCGGCAGGGACGAUUAUGACGGUACCUGCAGAAGCAGCUGCGGCUAACUACGUGCCAGCAGCCGCGGUAAUACGUAGGCAGCAAGCGUUGUUCGGAAUUACUGGGCGUAAAGGGUGCGUAGGCGGCUUUUUAAGUUUGUUGUGAAAUCUCCCGGCUCAACUGGGAGGGUGCGGCGAAUACUGAGAAGCUAGAGUGUGGAGAGGAAAGUGGAAUUCCUGGUGUAGCGGUGAAAUGCGUAGAUAUCAGGAGGAACACCGGUGGUGUAAACGGCUUUCUGGACCAUAACUGACGCUGAGGCACGAAAGCGUGGGUAGCAAACAGGAUUAGAUACCCUGGUAGUCCACGCCCUAAACGAUGCAUAUUUGGUGUGGGCCAUUCAUUUGGUCCGUGCCGGAGCUAACGCGUUAAAUAUGCCGCCUGGGGAGUACAGUCGCAAGGCUGAAACUCAAAGGAAUUGACGGGGGCCCGCACAAGCGGUGGAGCAUGUGGUUUAAUUCGACGCAACGCGAAGAACCUUACCUGGGCUCGAAAUGCUUACGACCAUCUUUGGAAACAGAGACUUCCCGCAAGGGACGUGAGUAUAGGUGCUGCAUGGCUGUCGUCAGCUCGUGUCGUGAGAUGUUGGGUUAAGUCCCGAAACGAGCGCAACCCUUGUCCUGUGUUGCCAUCAUUAAGUUGGGAACUCGCAGGAAACCGCCAGGGAUAACCUGGAGGAAGGUGGGGAUGACGUCAAGUCCUCAUGGCCUUUAUGUCCAGGGCUACACACGUGCUACAAUGGACGGUACAAAGCGCUGCCAACCCAUG